rnacentral:lncRNA from 1 species
UAGGACACUCCCGAGCCAUGUGUCCCUCCUGCCCACAUCUGAAGCAGGCUGUCGUCCCAACCAGACAUACUCCCUUGUGCGGUCUCCCACAUUUCCUGCAUACUGCAUUAUCUGCACCUGAGCUCGAGCCACCUCCUAAUCCCAGACCUGACUUGAUCUUGCUCCAGAACUUAUUCUUCUUGGACUUUCGGGAGCCUCUGUCCCACUUCUUACUGCCUGAACUCAGAGAAGAAGGGUCUAACCUACCCCCUCCUGGGGUCUUGGAACCAGAAGGCUGUGCCACUGACUGCUUGACUUUCCCUUCGAU